UACAGAGGUCCCAAGCGUUGUUCGGAUUCAUUGGGCGUAAAGGGUGCGUAGGCGGCGCGGUAAGUCGGGUGUGAAAUCUCGGAGCUUAACUCCGAAACUGCAUUCGAUACUGCCGUGCUUGAGGACUGGAGAGGAGACUGGAAUUUACGGUGUAGCGGUGAAAUGCGUAGAUAUCGUAAGGAAGACCAGUGGCGAAGGCGGCUCUCUGGGACGGUACUGACGCUGAGACGCGAAAGCGUGGGGAGCGAACAGG
rnacentral:rRNA from 1 species